rnacentral:rRNA from 1 species
GGGUUUUAAAGGGUGCGCAGGCGGUUCUGUAAGUCAGAUGUGAAAUCCCCGGGCUUAACCUGGGAACUGCGUUUGAAACUGCAGAGCUAGAGUGCGGCAGAGGGAGGUGGAAUUCCAUGUGUAGCAGUGAAAUGCGUAGAGAUAUGGAAGAACAUCGAUGGCGAAGGCAACCUCCUGGGCUAGCACUGACGCUCAUGCACGAAAGCGUGGGGAGCAAACAGGAUUAGAUACCCUGGUAGUCCACGCCCUAAACCUAUGUCAACUAAGUUGUCGGGUCUUAAUUAGACUUGGUAACGUAGCUAACGCGUGAAGUUGACCGCCUGGGGAGUAACGGUCGCAAGAUAAAACU